rnacentral:rRNA from 1 species
UGCGUAGGUGGUUUCUUAAGUCAGAGGUGAAAGGCUACGGCUCAACCGUAGUAAGCCUUUGAAACUGGGGAACUUGAGUGCAGGAGAGGAGAGUGGAAUUCCUAGUGUAGCGGUGAAAUGCGUAGAUAUUAGGAGGAACACCAGUUGCGAAGGCGGCUCUCUAGACUGUAACUGACACUGAGGCACGAAAGCGUGGGGAGCAAACA